UACGGAGGGUGCAAGCGUUAUCCGGAUUCACUGGGUUUAAAGGGUGCGUAGGUGGGCAGGUAAGUCCGCGGUGAAAUCCCCGAGCUUAACUUGGGAACUGCCGUUGAUACUAUCUGUCUUGAAUGUCGUGGAGGUAAGCGGAAUAUGUCAUGUAGCGGUGAAAUGCUUAGAGAUGACAUAGAACACCAAUUGCGAAGGCAGCUUGCUACACGAAAAUUGACACUGAGGCACGAAAGCGUGGGGAGCAAACAGG
rnacentral:rRNA from 1 species